rnacentral:rRNA from 1 species
UUACGGGAGGCAGCAGUGGGGAAUUUUGGACAAUGGGCGCAAGCCUGAUCCAGCAAUGCCGCGUGCAGGAUGAAGGCCUUCGGGUUGUAAACUGCUUUUGUACGGAGCGAAAAGGCUCUCUCUAAUACAGGGGGCUCAUGACGGUACCGUAAGAAUAAGCACCGGCUAACUACGUGCCAGCAGCCGCGGUAAUACGUAGGGUGCAAGCGUUAAUCGGAAUUACUGGGCGUAAAGCGUGCGCAGGCGGUUAUGUAAGACAGAUGUGAAAUCCCCGGGCUCAACCUGGGAACUGCAUUUGUGACUGCAUAGCUAGAGUACGGCAGAGGGGGAUGGAAUUCCGCGUGUAGCAGUGAAAUGCGUAGAUAUGCGGAGGAACACCGAUGGCGAAGGCAAUCCCCUGGGCCUGUACUGACGCUCAUGCACGAAAGCGUGGGGAGCAAACAGGAUUAGAUACCCUGGUAGA